rnacentral:rRNA from 1 species
AUGCAUUCUUUCAGUAAGACGCAGCGACCUUUGGCCAUGUUGAAGCCACGGUUUUCCAGCUCCUUGUACUCUUGGCAUAGCGCGCAACUCUCACAGAAGAAGUGGACACAGCAGUCCAUGCAGGGCGAUGCUGUCAAGUUGUAUUGCGACCGCAUCGCCGAGCGUUUGGUACAAGAAUACAACCAGUUGCAGCCUACGCAAGCCAGGCAAACAUACAGGGUCCCAUUCAUGCAGCAUGCUGAAAACAAGGAGACUCAGCCACAAAGAUGGAUGAUUUUUAUGCUUCAACCUAAGCACGAAUUCUAA